GUUGCUGCUCCGUGUUCUCGGUUAAUCGUAAGUCCGGAUCGAGUUUCGGUUAUUGUAUGUUACAAUUCAAGCUGUUUCGGUUGUUGCGGAAGUGGAUAAAGCUGAGGUUACGGUUGCUGCUGUCGCUGGCCGAGGAAAAAGGGGUUUUUGACGCGUUUUGGUUUUGCGAGUUUCGACUUUGAGGAUAAUUUUUUUGGACUCGUAAAGACAAAAGGAGUUGACUAGUUGUUGUGGCACCCUGUAUAAGAUGGGAUGUGUCUUAUAAUGAGUUUGGUUAUCUAAAUGUAUUAUUUUGAUGUGUUCUUUACUUUUUGAUAAGAGACUUUAUCCGAUAUUAUAUGUAAUGGAUAAAUUACACUCUAUUUUGAUUAGUGUUG